CGACCUGAGCUCAGGCAAGAUUACCCGCUGAACUUAAGCAUAUCAAUAAGCGGAGGAAAAGAAACCAACCAGGAUUCCCCUAGUAACGGCGAGCGAACCGGGAAAAGCCCAACUUGAAAAUCUCCCUUUUGGAGAAUUGUAGUCUACAGAAGUGCCCUCUGCGGCCAGGGGAGCUCAAGUCCGCUGGAAGGCGGCGUCAAAGAGGGUGAGAACCCCGUCAGCUCCCACUUGGCUGCAUCACGAGGUGCUUUCCACGAGUCGGGUUGUUUGGGAAUGCAGCCCAAAAUUGGAGGUAAAUCCCUUCUAAGGCUAAAUAAUGGCGAGAGACCGAUAGCGAACAAGUACCGUGAGGGAAAGAUGAAAAGAACUUUGAAAAGAGAGUUAAAAAGUGCUUGAAAUUGUUGAGGGGGAAGCGGUUGGAAGACGUGGGUGCGCCUAGGCUUAUGCGUCUCUUACGAGCCGCUGCAUGUGCUAGGUGCUGGUCAACAUGAGUUACGUCGUCGGGACAAUAGUGGAGUUUGUUCUCUGCCAAUGCCGAUGA
rnacentral:rRNA from 1 species